rnacentral:tRNA from 1 species
CGUAGGUUAGCUCUGUUGGUUAGAGCGUCGUGUUAAUUACGCGAAUGUUGUGGGUUGGAUCCCCAUAUUAGCCA